AACGAACGCUGGCGGCAGGCCUAACACAUGCAAGUCGAACGCUCCGCAAGGGGAGUGGCGCACGGGUGAGUAACACGUGGGAACCUACCUUCUGGUACGGAACAACCAAGGGAAACUUUGGCUAAGACCGUAUACGACCUCCGGGUGAAAGAUUGAUCGCCGGAAGAGGGGCCCGCGCCCGAUUAGGUAGUUGGUGAGGUAACGGCUCACCAAGCCUUCGAUCGGUAGCUGGUCUGAGAGGAUGACCAGCCACACUGGGACUGAGACACGGCCCACGACUCCUACGGGAGGCAGCAGUAGGGAAUAUUGGACAAUGGGCGGCAAGCCUGAUCCAGCCAUGCCGCGUGAGUGAUGAAGGCCUUC
rnacentral:rRNA from 1 species